UACGGGAGGCAGCAGUGGGGAAUUUUGGACAAUGGGCGAAAGCCUGAUCCAGCCAUGCCGCGUGCAGGAUGAAGGCCUUCGGGUUGUAAACUGCUUUUGUACGGAACGAAAAGCCUCUUUCUAAUAAAGAGGGGUCAUGACGGUACCGUAAGAAUAAGCACCGGCUAACUACGUGCCAGCAGCCGCGGUAAUACGUAGGGUGCAAGCGUUAAUCGGAAUUACUGGGCGUAAAGCGUGCGCAGGCGGUUUUUGUAAAGACAGAGGUGAAAUCCCCGGGCUCAACCUGGGAACUGCCUUUGUGACUGCAAGGCUGGAGUGCGGCAGAGGGGGAUGGAAUUCCGCGUGUAGCAGUGAAAUGCGUAGAUAUGCGGAGGAACACCGGAUGGCGAAGGCAAUCCCCUGGGCCUGCACUGACGCUCAUGCACGAAAGCGUGGGGAGCAAACAGGAUUAGAUACC
rnacentral:rRNA from 1 species